CCAAGAGGAAGGGCAGUUGCGCCGAAGGGGCAGCAGCCAAGGAAGAGCCCAAGAGGGGAUCGGUGCAGUUUUCAGCUAACUCCGCUCCUGCAAAAGGGGAAAUGAAGCCAAAAAGGCAUCAGGAAAGGAUACAUCUUCAGACAAAAAAAGUCUAAACAAAAGGGGAAAAGGGAACAGGGGAGCAAGGAGAAAACAGGCCAAGUGGUUAACCGAGAAACUAAAGAACAUUUAUCUGCAGAAAAUGGAGAAACAAAAAUCGGGGAGAGCCCAGCCUCUGAUGAAGCCAGAGAGAAAGAAGCCAAGUCUG
rnacentral:lncRNA from 1 species